rnacentral:rRNA from 1 species
AGAGUUUGAUCCUGGCUCAGGACGAACGCUGGCGGCGUGCUUAACACAUGCAAGUCGAACGGAAAGGCCCUUUCGGGGGUACUCGAGUGGCGAACGGGUGAGUAACACGUGGGUGAUCUGCCCUGCACUUUGGGAUAAGCCUGGGAAACUGGGUCUAAUACCGGAUAUACCUCAUGGACUGCAUGGUUUGUGGGGGAAAGCUUUUGCGGUGUGGGAUGGGCCCGCGGCCUAUCAGCUUGUUGGUGGGGUGAUGGCCUACCAAGGCGACGACGGGUAGCCGGCCUGAGAGGGUGACCGGCCACACUGGGACUGAGAUACGGCCCAGACUCCUACGGGAGGCAGCAGUGGGGAAUAUUGCACAAUGGGCGCAAGCCUGAUGCAGCGACGCCGCGUGAGGGAUGACGGCCUCCGGGUUGUAAACCUCUUUCAGCAGGGACGAAGCGCAAGUGACGGUACCUGUAGAAGAAGGACCGGCCAACUACGUGCCAGCAGCCGCGGUAAUACGUAGGGUCCGAGCGCUGUCCGGAAUUACUGGGCGUAAAGAGCUCGUAGGUGGUUUGUCGCGUUGUUCGUGAAAACUCACAGCUUAACUGUGGGCGUGCGGGCGAUACGGGCAGACUUGAGUACUGCAGGGGAGACUGGAAUUCCUGGUGUAGCGGUGGAAUGCGCAGAUAUCAGGAGGAACACCGGUGGCGAAGGCGGGUCUCUGGGCAGUAACUGACGCUGAGGAGCGAAAGCGUGGGUAGCGAACAGGAUUAGAUACCCUGGUAGUCC